rnacentral:tRNA from 1 species
GUAAAUUUAGUAUUAUAUGUCAUUUUUUCAGAGUGAAGAGGUAAUUUUAUC